GGCGGACCAGAGAAAUGCGGUCCAGAAGAUCCCUCCCCGAUUCCGGAUGGUUUCGCCCGAAUCGCCGAUUCCACCUCUCCUCUUCACCUUCGCUGGUGUCGAUCGGCUCUCCACCGAGCUCAGGUUCUCGAUCAAGCACGACACUAUCUCGGUGAGCCCGCGAGGGAGUUGCGAGCGGACGUGGAGUCCUUCGACCACCUCACCGGCGGCACGGUUACAUCUAGGGCGAGGUCUCCGACAGAGGAAUGAGGAAAGGAAGGCAAGUUCAUUCCCUAUGUUAACGUGAGAUCUGUGAGGUGAGGACGUCUACCAGAAUGUGACGGAACAUAUGUGGACGGAGUAGGCAAGAAGGCGAGAUGGACGCAUGGCACUGUCCGGACGUCUAAGAGUGCAGAGCAUAUUCAUUUCAUUGUGAGAGGUCCUUCAUUUGUUUAGAGAGAAAUUCGAGAAUUCAUUGUUCUUUUGUUUAAACUCCUAUUGCGAUGACAUUAUUUACAUUGGAUAAAAUAAAUCAUUAUGAUGGAAUUGCACUA